AUUGAACGCUGGCGGCAGGCUUAACACAUGCAAGUCGAACGAGUGGCGGACGGGUGAGUAAUGCCUGGGAAACUGGCUGAUGGAGGGGGAUAACGACGGGAAACUGUAGCUAAUACCGCGUACCAUAGGAUGAGCCCAAGUGGGAUUAGGUAGUAGGUGGGGUAAAGGCCUACCAAGCUGACGAUCCCUAGCUGGUCUGAGAGGAUGACCAGCAACACCGGAACUGAGAGACGGCCCGGACUCCUACGGGGGGCAGCAGUGGGGAAUAUUGCACAAUGGGGGCAACCCUGAUGCAGCCAUGCCGCGUGUAUGAAGAAGGCCUUCGGGUUGUAAAGUUCUUUCAGUAUUGAGGCGUGAAUUACAGAAGAAGCACCGGCUAACUCCGUGCCAGAAGCCGCGGUAAUUC
rnacentral:rRNA from 1 species